CAAUCCCCCAUUUAAGCAACAAUUACGCGUUUUCUCUUUGCAAAUCCCGCAUUUAAGCGAAAAUCAUGCAUUUUAUCUUUGAAAAUCCCCCAUUUAAGCGAUAAUCCUGCGUUUUCUUUUCGAGAAUCCCCCAUUUAAGUGAAAAAUCACGCGUUUUCUCUUCAGAAAUCUGCCAUUUAAGCGAAUAUCACGCAUUUUCUCUUCGCAAAUCCCCCAUUUAUGCCAAAAUCAUGCAGUUUUUCUUCGCAAAUCCCCCAUUUAAGCAAAUAUCACGCGUUUUUUCUUCGAGAAUACCCCAUUUAAGUGAAAAUCACGCGUUUAUUCUUUGAGAAUACCCCAUUUAGGCGAAAAACAGGCAUUUUCUCUUUGGAAAUCCCCCAUUUAAGCGAAAAUCACGUGUUUUCUUUUCGGAAAACCCCCCAUUUAAUCGAAUAUCAACCGUUUUAUCUCUGAGAAUCCCCUAUUUAAGCAAAUAUCACGCGUUUUCUCUUUGGAAAUCCCCCAUUUAAGCGAAAAUCAUGCUUUUUCUCUUCGGAAAUCACCCAUUUAAGUGAAUCUCACGCGUUUUCUCUUCGGAAAUACCACAUUUAGGCGAAAAUCAUGAAUUUUCUCCUCAGAAAUCACCAAUUUAAGCGAAUAUCAUGCAGUUUCUCUUCGGAAAUCCCCCUCUUAGGUGAAAAUGAUAAAUUUUCUCUUUGGAAAUCCCCCAUUUAAGCGAAAAUCAUGAAUUUUCUCUUCGAGAACCACCAUUUAAGCGAAAAUCACUCGUUUUCUUUUCGGAAAACCCCCAUUUAAUCGAAUAUCAACUGUUUUAUCUCCGAGAAUCCAACAUUUAAGCAAAUAUCACGCGUUUUCUCUUCGCAAAUCCACCAUUUAAGCGAAAAUCGUGAAUUUUUUCUUUGCAAAUCCCCCAUUUAAGCGAAAAUCACGUGUUUUCUCUUCGGAAAUCUCCCUUUUCAUCAUAAAAUCAUGCGUUUUCUUUUCGCAAAUCCCCCAUUUAAGCGAAUAUCACGCGUUUUUUCUUCGAGAAUACCCCAUUUAAGUGAAAAUCACGCGUUUAUUCUUGAGAAUACCCCAUUUAGGCGAAAAACAG
ensembl:lncRNA